CCGGCCGCUGCAGAAAUCACAAAGGUCCCGGAAAGUCACAGAAUCCGUGACCUCCAUGACAGACUUGCAGCCUCAGCUAGAAAGCUGUCUCCUUUCUAAAAAGAGGCUAAACCAGAAGCUUUCUAAGAUGGACUAUCUACUAAGUAUCAGAGGGGUAGCCAUGUUAGUCUGUAUCCACAAAAACAAUGAGGAGUCCGGUGGCACCUUAAAGACUAACAGAUUUAUUUGGGUAAUUCGUGGGUAAAAACCCCACUUCAGAGGCAUGGAGUGAAAAUUACAGAUACAGGCAUCUUGUCAGCAUACAAGUGUAAUGUAGUUCCUUUCUUGGCCAGUCAAUGCCAUUAUUGAGGCAUCUGGAUGAGAUGCUGAAAACUAAUGUAGCUGAGGCACUUUGCACUGCCAUGUCAUGGCACCCCUGAAGUACUGCAGGAGCUUGUCCUAGAGUGAGUAAUUAAGUCAGACCUAUGGUUUGGGGUUAAGAAAAUUAAAACCAGUCCCUAUGACCAUUUUAAAGGAGGCCAAACUCAAGGCUAAAAUAGCCAAUUAGAGUCAAUUGGACAGCGGUUGUCUCUGUUCAGAAGCACUAUUUAGUGUACAGUAAUGCUAGAAUUUUUUGAGACCUCUGCCAUUCUUGGUGGAGUGUGCUGUGGUCUAGGCAUUGCCAGUUAUUCUUACACCAUGCUACCAGGAAAAAUGGAAGGCUGCUCCCUGAGAUCUGGGCCUAAAAUAAACUUAUUUCUGUCUGGGCCAGGUUUGUCAGUGGAGAAGUGGGUAGCUGACUUGUCAUUUCUCCCUCACCCCUGCUAGAAGCCUAGGAAAUAAUCUAGAGUUGGAAGCCAAACAAAAUGGCUAAGGAGUGAAAGGCAUCAGACAGCUGACACAGGUUAGACCUUCCCCCCCCCCCCCUGUGCAGGCUAAGUAGAAAGAGCUGGACCUAUAAAAAGAAGGUGGAGGAAACGUUUGAGGAUCUGAUACUUUCACUAUGGUAUCUGAUAGCAUGGCAGUCAAUGCAGCAGCUGCUGAGCGUGAGAGAAGAGGGGAUUUUGGAUGAGGUGCGAUGGAACAGUUGGAAAUGAGAUGCAGAUGACAGGAGCCUAUCACUGCAGAGAAUAUGUAAAGGAAUCUGUGUGACUACAGAAUCUGUCUGUUUCAGUGAGAGGAAGAGGCUGGGGUGAGCAAGAGAGAAAGUAAUUGCGUUAUUUGAAUUCUAAAUAAGUGUCUCAAGGCCCUGAGUCCCAGCACAGAGGCAAUUAAAUGAGCCAGACAAGGAUCUCUGACUGCACCUUUCACAGCUAAGACCAUACCCACAAUUACUUUGUGUGAGUAUAAUGGCAGCGGGGGAAAAGCUGCACACAACCAAUAAAUCUCUCACUGUAGCAAGAGGUUUUUCUUGCAGUCUUUUUUCUCUUAAGGCUGUUGUGUGGCCCAGAAAGGAAAAGCUAAGAGUCUUCUCCAAUUCUCUCAAUCUUCCAUGAUGCUUCCCACAGACUGAAAACUUUUAGCCACCACUGCGGUUAUCGUGCUUGUUACCUUCACUCAGUCAGGAACAGAAAUGAUGCCAUUUUACCAGUGGGCAAUUGCUACUGUCCAGCACAGCUUACACUUUGGAACAGGAGUGCUGAAUACUCACUGCUGCUCAUUAUGAACUAUUGGAGUAAAAAACAAGUGAGUUAACUAGAAUAACAAAUGUGAGAAGAUUUAUAUGCACAGUAAAAGGCGAUUUGAGUAGAUUAGCUGUGAAUAACUUCUCUCAAUGGUAGCGCUUUUACAUUCAUGGAACAAUUUCUUUGUACAGUUUUAACAGCUUGGGUGUGGCUUUUUUAUUGGACUUAUUCUCUGUGUGUGGAUUGUGUUAUCUCUAAAUCAAAAUUCACUCUCAGAGGAUGGUCUGGCAUUUUGCUCUCUGAAUGAGCUUGAUAAAUGAAACUUGAAUACAUUAUAGAGGGGAAAUAACUUCAUAUUUAAAUGUGACUCAUUCUUCAUUUGUUCAGAUGCAUUGCAACAUCUUCCUAUUGGAGCUACAUUGUCUGAGCCCCUAAUGAGAGGCUGGGGGCCAAGAGCCAAUGCAGUGGAGAUGGUUUUAUAUGUCCUGGGAGAGCUUUGGGAUUUGGAGGCAAACUGUAUUCAUUCCAGAGAGGAGCAAUGUAUCACCACCAUACAAUGAGUUGGAGGAAACCAAUAAAGGCAAGGGAAUCUCA